ensembl:lncRNA
GUCUCGGGAAGCCUCUCUGAGUUUCUCCUACGCCCUCAUUUACUGUCCACCUGCUAUGUGCUAGGCACACACAUAUGUUAUUGCUAGUCAGUACAAGGACCCCCCACUAUAGGUAUUAGUAGGUGCAACUUUCUGAUAAGGACACAGAGGCUCAAAGUGACUUAGCGAUUGCCCAAAGAUAUACCUCUAGUGAGCAGGACUGGCUCUGUAGUUACAUAAAUGUAAGGCAAGUACCCACUCAUUGUCCUUGGCCACGGCAGUGAAGUCACCAUAAAUCUGAAUGCUGAUGCUGCAGAUCAAGGUGCCAAGUAUCCCAUCCAGUGAUGUAAGUGGGUAUCUUCGGCCAGAACCCUGCCCUUGAAGAGGGUGUCAGAAUCCAGAGAGCCAAGCAGCCCACCACCCUCGGCAGACUGGACUGCUAAAGGUUCCACAUCACCUCCAGUGGGCUUCCACUGAUGCGGGAUGUCCAUGUCAGAUAUUGACUGAGAGGCUGACAGAACCCUGCCUCUGCAGUCUUGGCUUUUGUCUCCAAUGAACAGAAGCUUAGGCAAGGUGUUCAUCGGACCAUCCAAAAGGCCGGACAGAGGCUGUGGCUUCAUCAAGCUUCCAGAACAGACAGUGUGAGCUGCUUUAUGCCCGCUUGUUAGUGACCGUCUGCUGUGUGGCAGAACUUGGUCUGAGACUUGCUUUCACUGUAAUAUGGCAGUGAGGUACGUGGCAGUAGCAAAUGUCCUCACCUCAAGCUUUUUUGAGUGACCACCUAUUCUCUUACAUCCAUUAAAAGCAACAACAAAGAGCUGUGUUACCAAAUUGAUUAAAUCCAGCUGAUAGGCCCCUUCUGCUCUUGCAAUCCUACGUGGAGAACAAGGCGUCCUGGAGAAGGUCAGCUCAGAGGUGAACGGCUGACGAACACAAGCAGAGAACAAAUACGUUGAGCGUUUCAUUUUCUGAGGAUAAUAUUGUGGCAGGAAAGAGGAAGGACUCCAUUUGCGCCAAAGAUAUUUCCACUGCUGAGCUUUAGACCAUCCUGAUGAAUCAAAGACGGGGACUGGCCAUAAAGGACUACUGAGGAAGGGGCUUCCUGAAUUAUGGGGUUACCUGGAAGAAUCAAGUGGAGAAGGUUGGAAAAGUGUCUGAGAGUGAUGCAGAUGAAAUGAAGGAUUUGGGAUCUGCCUUGUGCAUGGCUUCCUGACCCAGCUCAUGAACUAUGGGUCUGGUUUGAUGUCUCUGGGCCGCAGGCAGAAACAAAAGGAGACGUGAGAAUAUUGCUUGCAGGGUAUUGGACCUGGGAAUUAAGUGUAAUCCAGACAGGACGUAGGAUCUUCUCUUCAUUGCUGUUUGGAUCCAACAGAGAGAAGAGCCAAGGGACUGCAGAGCCACCUGGGAGCUGGAGAGUUGGGGUCUGCACCUUGGGUAUCACUUGGAGAGCAGACAGCUGUUGUCCCCCAAGCGCUGGCAUCACUGAAAGUACUGGAAUGUGACCACUGAGGGACUUUUCCUUCAGUGGACAUUGAUUGUGUAAGCUGGAGAAAAAUAAUUUGAGAUCAACGUUUGUAGACUCAUGUAGUUUGGGACAAGAGCCAAAAAUUUUUGGUCAUUACCCAUGCUGUGCUCCAUUGUGCGUAUUUAUGCACGUAACACUGGAGGAAACUUGCAUUAUAUUUGGGAAUCUCAUUCAAACUGUGGUGAUUCUGGAUUCUCCUUCCAAAACAGAACCUGAGACAAGGGCUAGUACGCAAGCAGUUUAUUUGGGAAGUGAUUCAGAAAAACGAGGCCGAGAGUGAACACCUAUUCCAGGGUAUAUCAUCAAGGCGAUCACUGCUGUGUUAGUGGGGCUUGACCCACUCAGCGCCUCCGAGGAGCCACACGGAAUAUGCCUCAUUUAUCUACCAGCUCUCAUCCCUCAUUAGAAAAGAGAUGCCCGUUGACUUUAACUUCCUUGCCCUUUCAGGUUCCAUGUGCCUGAUUGGAUUUCCACAGCCAUCUUUCAGCACAGCAUUAGAGAAGUCCCAGGGCAGGAAGACAUGAGGCAGAUGAAGUGAGAUGCUGUCAGAGCAUGUUUGCGCAAAGCUGGUUGCUGCAAAACUGGCUGGAGUAAAAAGUAGGCUGAGGAAACACAAGGAUUUGAAGUGGCACAACACAGUCUGAUCCAGAACACCUCUUGCACAGAUCAGGUCCACUCUUGCCCAACAUUAAGUCCCAUUCAUCAGAUACCCUUCAGUGUGAUGACUUUCUACAGUCUCUACAGACUUAAAACAGGAGGCUUCCUGGAAAAAGUUAUAAACCUGACUGAUACAACUAGCAUUGCAGAAAGGGGUCCCCUAGAGUCAAUGUGCUACCAGCUGCCUAAUUGAUACCU